AACGAACGCUGGCGGCAUGCUUUACACAUGCAAGUCGAACGGCAGCACGGACUUCGGUCUGGUGGCGAGUGGCGAACGGGUGAGUAAUACAUCGGAACGUACCCAGUAAUGGGGGAUAACUAUCCGAAAGGAUAGCUAAUACCGCAUACGCCCUACGGGGGAAAGAGGGGGAUCGCAAGGCCUCUUGUUAUCGGAGCGGCCGAUGGCUGAUUAGCUAGUUGGUAGGGUAAAGGCCUACCAAGGCAACGAUCAGUAGCGGGUCUUAGAGGACGAUCCGCCACACUGGAACUGAGCAACGGUCCAGACUCCUACGGGAGGCAGCAGUGGGGAAUCUUGGACAAUGGGCGCAAGCCUGAUCCAGCAAUGCCGCGUGCGUGAAGAAGGCCUUCGGGUCGUAAAGCGCUUUUGUCAGGGAGCAAAUCCUUGUGGCUAAUACCCACCGGGGAUGAGAGUACCUGAAGAAUAAGGACCGGCUAACUACGUGCCAGCCGCCGCAGUAAUAC
rnacentral:rRNA from 1 species